UUAUCAUUAUAUCCAAAGACUCAUCUACAACCUCUUAUACUAAAAAGAUCCCAAAGGAUUUGGGCUUCACAACUGACUUUUUGUUUGCUUGGGUUCUCAUUUCUAUUGUUUUGCUUUUAGUUAUUUUUUUUAUAUCUUUGAAAGUUUCCAUGCCCUGCUAGAGAACUUGUUUUUCCGGGAACUUAUACUCUAUAUUAAAGGAGUCUAUGGACAUUUAGAAGAGCAACAGUUGUCCAAAUUUAUCAUUUGCCAUGGAAAAAUCUAUUAAUUACAAUUUUUGUUGUAUAAAAAAAAAUUUACUGCCACCUAUUGUUUACUAAAUAUUACGUGGUAGGAGUUCUUAAUAGGUAUAACAAGGAAAAACAAUAGAUCAUAGAAAACGAGCAAAAAAAUUUUAAAAAUACUUGAAGAAAAAGAAACUAAUAAAAUACGUUCUUCUCACAGCCACCCGAGUUUCAUACUCUUGCUCUGUCUUUUUUUUCUUUUUUUUCCAAAUUAUCUUUCCCUGUUUCUCUUUAUUUUGCUCUCUUUUUUUCACUACUUCUUUCGAUUUUUCUCUAAUAAACCUAUGGAAAAAGAAAAUGAGACGACCAGCUUUUGUCGUACAAUCUUGCCAUUCUAAUAUUUGAGUCUAACUCUCUUUCAAGCAUUUUCUUUUAUAGGUUUUUGGGUUUUUCAAUGUUUCUUUUUUGUGUUUCUCAUUGCAUACAGAACUAAGAUUUCUAUUAGUUCUAUAAAAAAAUUUUCUUUUGUUGAUUUUUUUAUAUUUUAAAGGGCAUGUGCCUUUCCCCAUUUUUCUUCUUCUUUUCCUUUUUUUAUCUAUCUUAUCUCCCAUGUAAUAUGAGUUUUGAUCCUUUGAUUUUGGAUACAAGUUUUGACCGUUUGUUUGUAAUGAAUUUAUAGAUUAGCAGCUUUAUUUUUAGUUUUUAGUCGAAACUUUUAGAAAUUAUAACCAAGAACUUCCUCACUUCUCAUUCUCCUCACUUGCAACCAAUUCCUUCCCUCACAAAUUUCAAAACCCCAAACCCCCCAUUUUGUCCUUUUUUCAUAGUCAGGUGGCUUUAUUAAUCAAAAACUCUCUUUCUUUAUUUUGCUAAAAAACCAAUUUGCCACUAACCCAUAAGUGUUUUUUUUUUUCCCAAUUUGAUGGUUCAGCUAGUGAAGAAACAGAGGGGAUAAACGAACCUUUCUUCGAUGAUUUAGUGAAGAAAGAGGAGGGCGACGAAGAUGACAAAAAAGAAAGCAGUGUUGAUUUGUUGAUGAGAUUCUUACAAAGCACGUUUAGGAAUGUCACGAAGCAUGCCCAAUAUGGCCCUAGUUGGAAUAGGUAUUAACAAUGAUUGUUCAAGGAUCCCACCACUGGUGAAUUCCAUGAGCUCGUUUGAAAUCUGGAGACUGACUCAAAUUGAUAGUGAGAUAGGCUGAAGGAAGCAGA